GAUGAACGCUAGCGGCAGGCCUAAUACAUGCAAGUCGAGGGGCAGCAGGAAUAGCAAUAUUUGCUGGCGACCGGCGCACGGGUGCGUAACGCGUAUACAAUCUGCCUUCUACAGGGGGAUAGCCUUUCGAAAGAGAGAUUAAUACCCCAUAAUAAAUUGAAUAGCAUUAUUUGAUUUUGAAAGAUCCGUCGGUAGAAGAUGAGUAUGCGGGUGAUUAGCUAGUUGGUGAGGUAACGGCUCACCAAGGCAACGAUCACUAGGGGAUCUGAGAGGACUACCCCACACACGGGUACUGAGACACGGACCAGACUCCUACGGGAGGCAGCAGUAAGGAAUAUUGGACAAUGGCGGCAACUCUGAUCCAGCCAUGCCGCGUGCAGGAUGAAGGCCCUAUGGGUCGUAAACUGCUUUUGUACGAGAGAAAACCUAUUUACGUGUAGAUAGUUGAUAGUAUCGUAAGAAUAAGGAUCGGCUAACUUCGUGCCAGCAGCCGCGGUAAGAC
rnacentral:rRNA from 1 species